UUAAGAACCUUUUAGCUUACUUUACUUUAUAAGUGUUCUCUAAGAUAGGUUAUGAAAACAACUUAAGUGUUUAUACUACAACGACAAUAUAGGGCCUGUUUUGAUAAACAACUUAUUUGUAGCUUAUAGCUAAAGUGCUUUGCUUAUCACGAAUAAGCCCUUACCUUAUCACGAAUAAGCUUGUGUUUAAGCUUGCUUUAGCUAUUUUUUAAUAAAAAAAAAGGAUAAAUCAAUAUUAAAUUGUUUAUGUAUUUGCUAUGCUAUUAGCUGUCUGAAUAAGCUAUACUGGAGUACAUCUGAAAUUAAGUUUAAAAAAGCUUAUGAGAUGUUUUCAUAAGUUCUCCCAAGUAGUUUCCCAAAACUUAUGGCAGUAGAUAAGCUCAAUUAAGCCAAUCCUAACAGUCCCAUAACUCUAUUAUUCAUCUUUACUAGCUUAUACGUAGUGCUUAUCAUGAUAAGUGCUUACACUAUAAGCUGCAAAUAAGCUGUCUAUCCUAACAGGGCCUAUAUCUACAUAAUAUAGUAUUGGGUUAUCAGCAAAGCUAAUUCGUUGAAGGUUAUUUUGUGUGUGCUUAUUGUAAAAUGAGUACUCUAGAAUUUAUGGCACAAUUGAUUUUUUCUGAAUGUGAUGUAUAGUAUGAUAACAACUUGGCUUCACUGUAUGUAAAGUUUAAUAAUAGUAACAGCUCGGCACCAGUCUUAUGUCAUGUUGGAAUUGGAUAAUAUCUGAUAUUUUGAUGUUUUUGGGCUUAUUUAAUUUGAUUUCCGCAAGUAAUAACAUAAGGUCUACUUGUUUAACAUCUCAUUGAUUGUAGAGAAUUGGACAAAUCUGAUAUUUUGAUGUUUUUGGCCUUAUUUAAUUUGAUUUACCGCAAAUAAUAACAUAA
rnacentral:lncRNA from 1 species